GGGGGGGAGCGCUCUCGCUGGCACACGCCGGAUCAAGUCGCCAGCCAACGCGAUUCAACUCGAUUUGAAUCUGGAACCCGCUCGGGGCGCAAGGGCAGUUACGACGCACGAAAUAAGCACAAGCCGUUGGGGUCCUCGGUUGUCCGCCUGAAACAGAAACAAAUCAAACCGGGACGCAAGUACCCACUUGCCCUGCAGACCUGGUGAUUCUGAUGAAGAGAAACCACAGCUAAUGAGCUGGCAAGUGUCAUCUUCUAACUUGUGCAAAAUCUCAUUAAGGGCAGGCCUGGGACCCUGCCCCAACCCCAUCACCACCCAGGAUGAUGUCACCAUUUGGCUUAUUUAGGAUGCUUGGAAAUCUAUACUGCACUUUUCAUCUCAGCUCCUUGUCCAGCCUUAACUUGAACUUCCUGAUCUAAUGAUUUUAAUCGCUCAUUUAAAUGUUUCAAUUGUUAUGCUUUUUGACAAGCUUGUUUUAUUGUAUAUUUUAAUUAUGGGGUGUGUGUGUGUGUGUGUGAAUUAUGCAUAGAUAGUUUAUAAUUGAUUUUGUACUUGUAAACCACUUAGAAGCCAUUUUGGCCAUAUAACUGGUAUAGAAAUUAAUUAACAAGAACUUGGUUUGAAGCCCUGCUAACGUGAGCCACAGGAUCCAAGUUCCAUUCACAUGGUCACUUUUGGGGAUUGAACUCUAGCCAUAGUAAAUGGAGGGUUUUGAUGGGCUGAAAGUGUUUGGGGUCAAAUCGUUGUCUGAAAUGGUAAGCCAGAGAUGGGGAGCCCGUGAUCUCACACAAGUCACAUCCAGGAUGGCCAAGAGUCAGGGAUGAUGGGAUGUAGUCAUCUGGAAGGCCACUAGUUCCUUGCCCCCAUGGGCCUGUAAGCUGUCAUAAACAUGGGCUUUCAUGAAGGUUGGGGGACUAAAGCGGGACUAAAGGGAUUCUAAAAUGAGGGGCACAUUCCCAUUCUCUUUGCCCUUGUCACCCCACUGGUUUCUGCUAGUACUUUGUAUGUAGCAGCUGAAAGGAUAACAUAACAAGGGAUAGACAUAUCCAUCAGCUUUGCUUUCUCACACUUUCUCAUUUGUCCAGUAUUCAGCUUGUCACAUUUUCACAAGAAUUUGGGAUUCUUUUAAAGUCCUUCUGAAAAUUCACCAGCCUUUUAGUGUGAAUUUCUCAUAAGACGCACAUUUGUGUGUGCAAUAUUGCUCAAUAUACACAUUUUUUACAAAUCAAGUUUCCUGUAAUGCACUUUUGUAUACUGUUUUCACAAAUAUAUGCAUUUCAACACACAUUUUACCCCAAUAUAUGCAAUUAUGUACAUUAGUUGGCUGAAGAACUGCAUUGCAAAAUUUGGAAAAGUGUAAAUUUCACAGGGUGGUUGUGUGAAUUUUGGUUCAUGUGUUGUUUUGCAAAGUAUACAUUGGGUAGGUUUGCUUCUGAAUGCAAACAGAAUCAAAUUACUCUCAAAUCCCUAAACAAAAUGCAGGAUAGUGUCCUCCAAAGGGCUAAAUUUGGAGAG